GGGGCUAUAGCUUAAUUAGGUAAAGUACUUGCAUGGCAUGUAAGAGAUUAACGGUUCGAUUCCGUUUAGCUCCA
rfam:Blochmannia endosymbiont of Polyrhachis (Hedomyrma) turneri strain 675, complete genome.